AACGACAUUUUAGUGGACAACAUACCGAGGUGAUUAUGGAAAGUUAAGUUAGAACAGACAUCUGAAAAGAAUUGCGAUAGUCGCCUUUCGACGAACACACACUUGGUGUAUGACAUUUCUUUUAUUUAUUAUCAUUGUUGUGCAAGUGUCAACCAAUUCUGUUUAGACCCUUUCUGUUUGAUCUGUGAAUUAGAUAAAUAAUUUUGUUUUCAACUAUUUUCCCUAAGAAAAAGUAUGCAGAAAAGGCAAAUUCAAACGUUGCACUGUCGUUUUAUUUAAAAUUUCGACAGUCAACGGUUUUAUUAUCUUUUCUCAUGCGAAUCGCGAGUGUAAAAUUUUUUGUCUUUUGUGUUGACUUACAAAAUGUUCGUCUUUUUGGUGGCCAAAAUGAAAUUAUAAUGAAAUUUCCAGAGUUUUAGUUCCGAAAGUUAUCUAAUGAAACAUCGGACAAGCAGAAUAUUUACAACAUAUUUUUUAUUGUAAUUUUUGAUGCUCGGACAAGCAGAAGCUUUCAAGAGGGAAG